UGAGUUGUCAGCAUAGAGCCGGACACAGGGCUCCAACUCACCAGCCAUGAGCUCAUGACCUGAGCUGAAGUCAGACGAAGCUGACUGAGCCACUCAGGCUCAGAAUCUGAGUUUUAACAAGAGCCUCAGGUGAUUUGUCUGUACAUUAAAAUGCAGAAUGCACUACCUUGGAAGACCUUUGGGUUUUGCUGCAUGCUGACCUGUUUUUGUUUGGGUUUGUUUUGCCUUUUUUUUUUUUUAAGCUCAGGUUGCCCAUGGGGAUCUUUUCUCAGCAGGCUAAGACAGUCAAUCAUUUCCUCUUUGUGUGCAGGAAGAGGUGUGUUUUCAGGGGCAUCAGACUUUGAAGCAGGCCUUCGAGGGCAGCAACUGAUUCUUGCACCAGAAUGAAAUAGGCUGAGAGGCCAGAGGUGCAUUCCUCCUCCUGAACUGGUCCCCACUCUGUCCCCGGCUGAAGGGAACACCCUCAUGGUGCAGCUCUGGCAAUGAACCACAUGACACGAGAGAUGACAAGCAAGACUGAUUAAUAGCAGAUAAAAACAAUGAACCCAGAUAUUCAAGAAACUCAGUGAACCCCAUGCAGAAGAAAAGUGAAGAAAACUACACUAAGGUACUCCAUAGAUUGCUUAAAACAGGAAAUAAAAAAUCUUAAAAGUAGCUAGAGGGAAAAAAAGACAUGUAUUGUUACAAUAAAUGUAAACCAGAAAUAAUCUAAUAACCUCUUUAAAGUACUAAAAGAUAAGAAUUGUCACCCUAGAAUUUUUUACCUCGUGAAAAUAUCUUGAUACGGUAUGACCUCAUUUGAAAGUAGACUGUGACAAGUAUUGGAUAUUAUAUAUGUAUGCUAUAAACUCUAAAGCAACCACUAAAACAUCAUAGAGUUAUUGCUUCUAACCCAACAAAGGAGAAGGAGGUAAAAAAGCAUUCUAAAUUGAUCCAAAAGUAGGCCAAAAUGAGAGAAAAGAGAACAAAGGGCAGUUGAGAUUUGGCACUCUUAGAGCAGAUACCCUAUCCUGAAUAAUACAGGUGGAUAAGUAGGCAGAUGAUUGAGUAUGAUAUAUAUGGCUGGGUGGGUAGGUGGUAGGCAGAUGGGUGAGUGAUAAGUUGAAGGUAAUUGAGUGCAUACAUUUAUCCCCAGGUCUUAGAUUCUUCUGGAACUUGAGGCCCUGCUUCUUGGUUCCUCAUACCUUGCCUGACUAAUGACUGCUUAAUUUCAGCUCAGUUUCUUCCCAAGGAGCUCUGCCAUGAAGGAUGGAUAAAAUGUAGACCCAUAGAAAGAAAAAGGGGUGGUGUUUCAGGAAAAGAUAAAGCAUAAACAAAGAUAUAUAGGGAAAAAAUGAUUGUUCAGAGACAAUUAGGAUACCAGUUAGGGAUCAAAUGAGGGUAUAGGAUCAGGAGGCUAUGAAGGCAAAAAAGUUGAAUGACUAACCCUUGUACAAUUACUGCAAUGACUGCCAUUACUUUUCAUUUAUUGAGCAGUUACUGUGUACCAGGACGUAUGGAAAGAGGUGUUACAUAUUUUGAAACUACCCUCCGAAGUUGGUGUUAUUAACCCAGUAUCAUUGGUAGGUAUAUUGGCAAAGAGAGAUCAAUUAACAUGGCUACAGACACACAGUGGGCAAAUGUCUCAGCUGGAAUUCAAACCCAGGCCAGGGUGACCCCAAUCUAGUCCUUUUAUUGUCUCAUGGAAACAACUUUCUAGGUGAACCAUGCAGUAGUAAGAGGUCUUACUAUCUUCAUAGGCCCUCUGCCUGGGGAUGCUUUUUUUUUUCAGGACUUGAGAUCCUUUAGAAGGUAAGUCCAAAAAAGUGGGGUUGACCUGGAGCGGUCCCCCAUGGUGCUAGGUCUCAGAAACUCUGGAAGCAGAGAGUGGUUACCUCAAAGGGGGCACUGCUUUCUCUCAUCAGUCUGUGAUCCACUCUGAGUAAGAGUCCCCCUCCUCCUAGGGACUCUGGAAAUUGGGGGAGAGCUUUCUAUAUUGACUUUGAAUCUCAGGUCCCACCAAAUAUGCUAAUCCCUUCAUCAUUCUGAAUUUCAGUUUCUUUAUUUGUCAAAGGAAAGUAUAAUUCCUAGCCCUUGGAUGAGCAGGUGCAGCAAGCUGGGUCAUUUCUCCCUUAAAGAAAAACAGUGAGAGGCUGAGGAGGGUGGCUGGCAUCUCACAGGGAAUGGCCCUGGUUAUGCGGAACUCAGGGCUCCAAGAUGCAGUGAGAAGAGGUUGGAGAAGGGCAGCCCUUAACCUCUAGACAGCACAGGGUUCAGCUCCCUACUCUGCCACCUACUGGCUGCACUCACACUUUGUACAAGUUCUGAAGAUGCUGAGACUUGAUUUCCUCCUCUCUGAAGGGGGAUGGUUAUGGGGCCUACCUCACAUGGGGUGUCAGGAGGACCCAAUGAGCAAGUGUCUGUAGGGGCCUGGCCUAGAGCUGGGGGCACUGCUGGUCUCCUGCUGGUUUUGACACAAUAAUCCAUGGGCCCUGAUACCAGGUGAGAGGUGGGUUUUUGGUGCACAGGGCAAACAGCUCCUCUCCUUGCUCCUGCCAGCCUAGGUUUAACUAAGCAAUGCCAGGUUUGGCAACUAACGACAGAAGCAUGAGGGUUAGACCUUUUUCUUUUGUGGCUAAUGCAUGUUUACUAGAGAACAGCUGGGGGGUGCCAAGGGAUAGCCCUGGAAAAUGCAGUGGGGGUCUUGGAAGGAGCUCUGAAAUUGGCAGUACCUGACUGAUGCCCUAAGCACCCUCCUAUGAUGCUUGACCAGCUCAGCACUGCUUUCCUUGCCCUCUUUACCUACUUUCUCCAUGGAUCAGGGUUCCUAGGUGCCUCUGUUUUUGCUACUAAGAAUCUUGCUAUUAAAGCUUUUGUGUGACCCCCGAAGGUCACUAUUUCCUAACCUGACAGAUCAAGUGUUGGUACUAGUGUUCUCUAAAUUUCAUUUAUUUGCAUACUGUCUGUAUUUUUGGCUAUAUUUGCAUAGAAUCUGUUCCAUUAUUUGCUUAAUGUUCUUCUUUUAAAAGAUCUAUUAAAAAAAAAACUGAAGUGCAGUUAUUUUAAAAGGCAACUUCAGGUAUGCCUAUGAUGAAUGGAAAACCUAACAUAAAUAGGAAGUGUCCAUAAAAAUUAAUACAUACAUUUAGAACAACUGUGUGUCCUAUACUAUGUACAAUGAUCCUAUCACACUUGGAAAAUGCAGGGCUAGAUCCUAUGGCUCCUCCCAGCUCCAUGCUUCCCUGACCUCUGUCUCUUCCUCCUUUCCAGGAACAUGGCCUAGACAGGGAGCACACCCUCACAGUCAUUAUUCUUUGCCCUGCUGUUAUCUCUGUGGACCAAUAAAUCAUCAUUGUGGUUUUACAGAGUAAGGGACAGAGGUCUGGAGCUCCUGUGUCCAAAGAGGCUUCUGAUGUUGGGACAAACAGUAUAAUCCAAAGAGGAAGUCCCCUUUGUUACUUAAUCCCAUCUAAAGAAUCUCAGACAUUCUCUGAAAAGAAUAGCAGCAGAGAUUGCAUCAGCAGCCUGUCCUCAGGCCCCACCAGACACAGACAUCUCCCAUGCCUGUCCCCUCGGCAGCCACAGAGAGACAGCUAGGAAACCCUCACUUGGGGACUAAUAACUGCCCUCACUUUCUGAGGCCCAAGAAUGUCAGAAAGAGCGGGGCAGGAAGGCAGAGAAGCCAGAGACAUGUGUGUGCUCCCUAGGUCAUGUCCAGAGCAGAGAGGGGGCCCAGCAGAGCUAUGUGGGGCUUCUCUGUUGGAAGUAUAACAUCUAAUAUUAUUGAUGCCCGGGAUGUGUUCAGGCCUUGCCAUGAAUGAUCUCACCCAGGCUUCAUCUCAGCCCCUGAAGUCAGCCUAUCAGCAUUCUCUCUUUCAUAGAGAGAUUGGUUUGAGAAGAGAGGAGAGCUAGUGAGGGUCAGAGGGCCUCCAACCAAGGGCUAUUGGAGAAGCAGCACUACCACCUGGCCUUCCUGGGCAGUGUCACUGGGCAACCUCACUCUUCCCUUCAUCCUUUCCUGCUACGCUUUCCUUCUCCAUCCCCUCUUAAUUUAGUAAAAUAAUUCUUGAGGGGCGCCUGGGUGGCUCAGUUGGUUAAGUGUCC